AUUGAACGCUGGCGGCAGGCUUAACACAUGCAAGUCGAGCGGAGACUUCGGUCUUAGCGGCGAACGGGUGAGUAAUACCUAGGAAUCUGCCUAUUAGUGGGGGAGUAACGGCUCGAAAGGGUCGCUAAUACCGCAUACGUCCUACGGGAGAAAGUGGGGAGUCUUCGGACCUCACGCUAAUAGAUGAGCCUAGGCCGGAUUAGCUAGUUGGUAGGGUAAAGGCCUACCAAGGCGACGAUCCGUAGCUGGUCUGAGAGGAUAACCAGCCACACUGGGACUGAGACACGGCCCAGACUCCUACGGGAGGCAGCAGUGGGGAAUAUUGGACAAUGGGCGCAAGCCUGAUCCAGCCAUGCCGCGUGAGUGAUGAAGGUCUUCGGAUCGUAAAGCUCUGUGGGAAGGGAAGAAAAAGUAUACCUCAUACGUAUGCUCUUGACGGUACCUUCUUAGCAAGCACCGGCUAACUCUGUGCCAGCAGCC
rnacentral:rRNA from 1 species